UUUCAUUCUUCAUCCUUCGUGUACUUUGUUUGAUUUCCUUGAUUUAAUUCUUCUUCAUAUUUAAUUAAUCUUCAUCCAUUCCACAAUCCAAAACACACCACCAGCAGCACCCUUUUGUUUUUUUUUGGAGGGCUCCCAGGCGUCCCUACCAUGUGAAUUGAACUGCUUUCUUUUUGACUGGAAGAGGAAAUGAACGGCGUGAGAAGUUUCGCAGAGAUAGUUAAAAACAACAGAAGAUUAGAAGUUUCACCUAACAGGCAAAAGCUUCUCCUCCUUUACUAGUUGUUGAAAGCAAAGCUCACUUUACCAGGAUGGCUGACCCUGUUGUCUCUGUUGUUAUUGAGAGAACUAGCAAUCUG
rnacentral:lncRNA from 1 species